GGUAGUGUGGCCGAGCGGUCUAAGGCGCUGGAUUUAGGCUCCAGUCUCUUCGGGGGCGUGGGUUCGAAUCCCACCGCUACCA
rnacentral:tRNA from 1 species